UAGGGAAUAUUGGACAAUGGGUGAGAGCCUGAUCCAGCCAUGCCGCGUGCAGGAAGAAGGCGUUAUGCGUUGUAAACUGCUUUUUGCCAGGGGAUAAAAAGACCGUGCGCGGUUAAUUGAAGGUACCUGGUGAAUAAGCCAUGGCUAACUACGUGCCAGCAGCCGCGGUAAUACGUAGGUGGCAAGCGUUGUCCGGAUUUAUUGGGUUUAAAGGGUGCGUAGGUGGCCCUGUAAGUCAGUGGUGAAAUAUCUCAGCUUAACUGAGAGGGUGCCAUUGAUACUGCAGGGCUUGAGUACAGAUGAGGUAGGCGGAAUUGACGGUGUAGCGGUGAAAUGCAUAGAUAUCGUCAAGAACACCGAUAGCGAAGGCAGCUUACCAAGCUGUAACUGACACUGAGGCACGAAAGUGUGGGGAUCAAACAGGAUUAGAUACCCACGUAGUCCCUGAGCGGGCUGGCAAGGCGCAU
rnacentral:rRNA from 1 species